rnacentral:rRNA from 1 species
GAUGAACGCUGGCGGCGUGCCUAAUACAUGCAAGUCGAGCGAACAGACGAGAGUGCUUGCACUCUCUGACGUUAGCGGCGGACGGGUGAGUAACACGUGGGUAACCUACCUAUAAGACUGGGAUAACUUCGGGAAACCGGAGCUAAUACCGGAUAAUAUUUAGCUUCGCAUGAAGCAAUAGUGAAAGACGGUUCUGCUGUCACUUAUAGAUGGACCCGCGGUGUAUUAGCUAGUUGGUGAGGUAACGGCUCACCAAGGCAACGAUACAUAGCCGACAUGAGAGGGGGUUCGGCGCCACUGGGACUGAGACACGGCCCAGACUCCUACGGGAGGCAGCAGUAGGGAAUCUUCCGCAAUGGACGAAAGUCUGACGGAGCAAUGCCGCGUGAGUGAAGAAGGUUUUCGGAUCGUAAAACUCUGUUGUAAGGGAAGAACAAGUACGUUAGUAACUGAACGUACCUUGACGGUACCUUACCAGAAAGCCACGGCUAACUACGUG